rnacentral:ncRNA from 1 species
UCCGGGGAUAGGGUAGCUCCCGACAAGGCGGACCUCCUGCACCGCCUUCCCACGGAUCACUUUGAGGA